CUUGUGGGUGGAUUAGUGGCGAACGGGUGAGUAACACGUGAGKAACCUGCCCUUAACUCUGGGAUAAGCYUGGGAAACUGGGUCUAAUACCGGAUAUGACUCCUCAUCGCAUGGUGGGGGGUGGAAAGCUUUAUUGUGGUUUUGGAUGGACUCGCGGCCUAUCAGCUUGUUGGUGAGGUAAUGGCUCACCAAGGCGACGACGGGUAGCCGGCCUGAGAGGGUGACCGGCCACACUGGGACUGAGACACGGCCCAGACUCCUACGGGAGGCAGCAGUGGGGAAUAUUGCACAAUGGGCGAAAGCCUGAUGCAGCGACGCCGCGUGAGGGAUGACGGCCUUCGGGUUGUAAACCUCUUUCAGUAGGGAAGAAGCGAAAGUGACGGUACCUGCAGAAGAAGCGCCGGCUAACUACGUGCCAGCAGCCGCGGUAAUACGUAGGGCGCAAGCGUUAUCCGGAAUUAUUGGGCGUAAAGAGCUCGUAGGCGGUUUGUCGCGUCUGCCGUGAAAGUCCGGGGCUCAACUCCGGAUCUGCGGUGGGUACGGGCAGACUAGAGUGAUGUAGGGGAGACUGGAAUUCCUGGUGUAGCGGUGAAAUGCGCAGAUAUCAGGAGGAACACCGAUGGCGAAGGCAGGUCUCUGGGCAUUAACUGACGCUGAGGAGCGAAAGCAUGGGGAGCGAACAGGAUUAGAUACCCUGGUAGUCCAUGCCGUAAACGUUGGGCACUAGGUGUGGGGGACAUUCCACGUUUUCCGCGCCGUAGCUAACGCAUUAAGUGCCCCGCCUGGGGAGUACGGCCGCAAGGCUAAAACUCAAAGGAAUUGACGGGGGCCCGCACAAGCGGCGGAGCAUGCGGAUUAAUUCGAUGCAACGCGAAGAACCUUACCAAGGCUUGACAUGAACCGGAAAUACCUGGAAACAGGUGCCCCGCUUGCGGUCGGUUUACAGGUGGUGCAUGGUUGUCGUCAGCUCGUGUCGUGAGAUGUUGGGUUAAGUCCCGCAACGAGCGCAACCCUCGUUCUAUGUUGCCAGCGCGUUAUGGCGGGGACUCAUAGGAGACUGCCGGGGUCAACUCGGAGGAAGGUGGGGACGACGUCAAAUCAUCAUGCCCCUUAUGUCUUGGGCUUCACGCAUGCUACAAUGGCCGGUACAAAGGGUUGCGAUACUGUGAGGUGGAGCUAAUCCCAAAAAGCCGGUCUCAGUUCGGAUUGGGGUCUGCAACUCGACCCCAUGAAGUCGGAGUCGCUAGUAAUCGCAGAUCAGCAACGCUGCGGUGAAUACGUUCCCGGGCCUUGUACACACCGCCCGUCAAGUCACGAA
rnacentral:rRNA from 1 species